UACUGAAACAUUUAUCGACGUUCUCACUGAAGAGGACCUCAAAGCUUCACUGAGAAAGGAACUUGCAGAAUCUAGUUCUGCGCCGCAAUCGGCACGGGGUAAGAAUUGAAACUCAGUGUCGCCCUCCUAAGAAUUCAUAGAAGCAAAUGCAACAGCCACUGAAUACUGCCAGACCAAGGACCUGACCUUCUUUCUCUCCUUUUUUAAGCCCACAAAGAAAAAUUUCUUCCUACACCAGAGAAGAAUCUUGAAUGAAGUCAUCAAAUUGCUUUCCACUGUUAGUACAAUCAAGUGUGAUUGGCGUCAUUGAAAGAGGCUGAAUUGCACUCCUAGAUCAGAGAGAAGAGGAGCCUUCCCAAAGCUACAACUCUCCUGGCAGAAAAUGGCACUGUUUUGGGGUAUCUACUGUAAAUGAAGCCCGGGAAGAGCAGUCCCUAACCUAGUGACCUAGGCAAUAACGCCAGCGUCGCCGCAGCUCCGGGAGAAAAAGUGGAGGUCACCCCGGCCCUUAGAACCUCCCACACCCGGAAGACGCCAGCCAGCUCGGGGUUCGCGGUCCGCAGCUGUGGAGCCGCCCCUCUCCCGGCACUCACCGCCACGCAGCUGCGGAGGAAAUCUCGCGCGGUGUGAGGCGCUCGCGAGGGGCGCGCCGCGAGACCUCAGCCCGCCGAACCCAGUACGCAGGCGCACUGCUAGACCUCUGCACCCUCCCCUCCGGGGAGACGGACCUUUACAGUUUAGGCUGGACUCCUGGUUUCCCACGUUUCUAGAGGAGGGGAAGCUGCGGAGUGUUAAAGGAUCCUCCCUGGUCUGGGCAGUGUGUUGUGGGUUUUUGUUGUUGUUGGCGGGGGAGGGGCAGAGGGAAAGAGACGGUCUCAAGCAGGCGAGGAGCCUAGGCCCGGCUUAUCUCAGCACCUUGAGAAUCAGGACUUGAGCCCGAAUCAAGAGUGGGUGGCUUAACUGAGCUACUCAGGCGCCCCUGGGCAGAUUGUGUAAUAAGCUGACCGUAUGGCCUCGGUGUACUGCCUGUACCCAAAGAGCAAAUCGUUCAGCCUUGACCGCGGAGUUCAGGUCCAGCUGUCCUUGAAGGAAUUUAAUUCGCUACAUGGACUUCUCUCUGAGCCUCAGAUUGGAAAAUUACAGCGGACAGAGGCCAUCAAGCCUGUCCCUGGUUUUAUAGACAGGGAAACAGACUCGGAGAGCUGAUGUGGUUGGACCACCCACUUUUGCGCUGAUUCAGGGCAAUGCUGGGGUUAAAAUUGCCUCUCCGGAUUGCUGAGUUAGGACGCUUUCCCUUAGAACAGGGCUGUCUUUUUUCUUUCACAAAGAAUCCCAGCUUCCUCAAAGAUGGAUUACCCAACGUUGAAAGAGGAAUUCAACUUCUUCCUUUUUUGACCUCAAACUUUCUAAGUGAUUAAAUUCUUUGAAGUUAAUCUCUUAACUCAAGCAGAAGAUGCUGCAGGCAAAGCAUCCCCUCAAGCUAUAAGGACUGCCCUGAACCAGCAAGACCCCAGUGACUGACCUCGAUGACUGAUUCGACCUUUACCGCCCACCUGCAUAUACCCAUGACCUCUGCCCCACAUUUUCCUUAUAUAAACCUGGAAGUAUUUUCAGCACUUUGGAGGCAGUCUUUGAGACACUAGUCCACUGUUUUCCAAGUUAGUCUCACUGAAAUAAAAUGCUUUUCUCCUUUAA